AUACGGAAGGUCCGGGCGUUAUCCGGAUUUAUUGGGUUUAAAGGGAGCGCAGGCGGAGAUGCAAGCGUGACGUCAAAUUUCGGGGCUCAACCCCGUCUCGCGUCGCGAACUGCGUCCCUUGGUUGCGGGAAGGGGAGGCGGAACUCGUGGUGUAGCGGUGAAAUGCAUAGAUAUCACGAAGAACUCCGAUCGCGAAGGCAGCCUUCCGGCCCGUCAACGACGCUCAUGCUCGAAGGUGCGGGUAUCAAACAGGAUUAGAUCCCCUGGUAGUCCGCACAGUAAACGAUGGACACCCGCGGUUUGGCCUGUAUGGCUGAGCCGCCAAGCGAAAGCGUUAAGUGUCCCACCUGGGGAGUACGCCGGCAACGGUGAAACUCAAAUGAAUUGACGGGG
rnacentral:rRNA from 1 species